AGUUGGAUAGCUGGGUCAAAUAGUGAUGCCAUUUUAAGUUUUAUGAGGAAUCUCCAUGAUGUUUUCCAUAGUGGUUGCACUAAUUUGCAGUCCCACCAGCAAU
rnacentral:pre_miRNA from 1 species